UACGGAGGGUGCGAGCGUUGUCCGGAAUCACUGGGCGUAAAGGGCGCGUAGGCGGCCAACUAAGUCAGACGUGAAAUCCCUCGGCUUAACCGGGGAACUGCGUCUGAUACUGGAUGGCUUGAGGUUGGGAGAGGGAUGCGGAAUUCCAGGUGUAGCGGUGAAAUGCGUAGAUAUCUGGAGGAACACCGGUGGCGAAGGCGGCAUCCUGGACCAAUUCUGACGCUGAGGAGCGAAAGCCAGGGGAGCAAACGGG
rnacentral:rRNA from 1 species